rnacentral:rRNA from 1 species
UACGUAGGGUGCGAGCGUUGUCCGGAAUUAUUGGGCGUAAAGAGCUCGUAGGCGGCUCGGUAAGUCGGGUGUGAAACCCCCAGGCUCAACCUGGGGACGCCACCCGAUACUGCUGUGGCUAGAGUCCAGUAGGGGAGUGUGGAAUUCCCGGUGUAGCGGUGAAAUGCGCAGAUAUCGGGAGGAACACCAGCGGCGAAGGCGGCACUCUGGGCUGGAACUGACGCUGAGGAGCGAAAGCGUGGGUAGCAAACAGG